GAUGAACGCUGGCGGCGUGCCUAAUACAUGCCAGUCGAGCGAACAGACGAGGAGCUUGCUCCUCUGACGUUAGCGGCGGACGGGUGAGUAACACGUGGAUAACCUACCUAUAAGACUGGGAUAACUUCGGGAAACCGGAGCUAAUACCGGAUAAUAUAUUGAACCGCAUGGUUCAAUAGUGAAAGACGGUUUUGCUGUCACUUAUAGAUGGAUCCGCGCCGCAUUAGCUAGUUGGUAAGGUAACGGCUUACCAAGGCAACGAUGCGUAGCCGACCUGAGAGGGUGAUCGGCCACACUGGAACUGAGACACGGUCCAGACUCCUACGGGAGGCAGCAGUAGGGGAUCUUCCGCAAUGGGCGAAAGCCUGACGGAGCAACGCCGCGUGAGUGAUGAAGGUCUUCGGAUCGUAAAACUCUGUUAUUAGGGAAGAACAAAUGUGUAAGUAACUAUGCACGUCUUGACGGUACCUAAUCAGAAAGCCACGGCUAACUACGUG
rnacentral:rRNA from 1 species